UGGGGAAUUUUGGACAAUGGGGGCAACCCUGAUCCAGCAAUGCCGCGUGUGUGAAGAAGGCCUUCGGGUUGUAAAGCACUUUUGUCCGGAAAGAAAACGCCGUGGUUAAUACCCGUGGCGGAUGACGGUACCGGAAGAAUAAGCACCGGCUAACUACGUGCCAGCAGCCGCGGUAAUACGUGGGGUGCAAGCGUUAAUCGGAAUUACUGGGCGUAAAGCGUGCGCAGGCGGUCCGCUAAGACAGAUGUGAAAUCCCCGGGCUUAACCUGGGAACUGCAUUUGUGACUGGCGGGCUAGAGUAUGGCAGAGGGGGGUAGAAUUCCACGUGUAGCAGUGAAAUGCGUAGAGAUGUGGAGGAAUACCGAUGGCGAAGGCAGCCCCCUGGGCCAAUACUGACGCUCAUGCACGAAAGCGUGGGGGAGCAAACAGGAUUAGAUACCCUGGUAGUCCACGCCCUAAACGAUGUCAACUAGUUGUUGGGGAUUCAUUUCCUUAGUAACGUAGCUAACGCGUGAAGUUGACCGCCUGGGGAGUACGGUCGCAAGAUUAAAACUCAAAGGAAUUGACGGGGUCAU
rnacentral:rRNA from 1 species